UAUUUUGGCACACAGUAAGCAAGAUGAUC
rnacentral:piRNA from 1 species